AGCUCCAAUAGCGUAUAUUAAAGUUGUUGCAGUUAAAAAGCUCGUAGUUGGAUUUCUGGUGGAAGUGACCGGUCUGUCCCUAGUGGAUGUGAACUUGUGUCUACUUUUGCCAUCCUUGGGGAGAGCGUGCCUGGCAUUAGGUUGUCGGGUUCGGGAUCCCCAUCCUUUACUGUGAAAAAAUUAGAGUGUUUAAAGCAGGCUUAUGCCAUUGAAUACAUUAGCAUGGAAUAAUAAGAUAGGACUUUGGUGGUCUAUUUUGUUGGUUUGCACACCAAGGUAAUGAUUAAUAGGGAUAGUUGGGGGUAUCCGUAUUUCGUAGUCAGAGGUGAAAUUCUUGGAUUUACGAAAGACGAACUACUGCGAAAGCAUUUACCAAGGAUGUUUUCAUUAAUCAAGAACG
rnacentral:rRNA from 1 species